UACGGGGGGAGCAAGCGUUGUUCGGAUUUACUGGGCGUAAAGGGCGCGUAGGCGGCGUGACAAGUCACUUGUGAAAUCUCCGGGCUUAACUCGGAACGGUCAAGUGAUACUGUCGUGCUAGAGUACGGAAGGGGCAACUGGAAUUCUUGGUGUAGCGGUGAAAUGCGUAGAUAUCAAGAGGAACACCUGAGGUGAAGACGGGUUGCUGGGCUGACACUGACGCUGAGGCGCGAAAGCCAGGGGAGCAAACGGG
rnacentral:rRNA from 1 species